CGGAGCUUUAAAGAUGCUUCGCUUUAAUGGUCUCGCAAUCAGCUGCGAACUCCAACCGCCUUUCAUUUCCCCCCAAACGCCCCACAAAAUCACCACGGAGCUUAGAGCGAGAAUCGACACAAUGGCAGGAACGGCGGCGGCGGCGGCGGCGGCGGCGACGGAGGAGCGGCGUGUGUGCGUCACCGGCGGCAACGGCUUCAUUGGCAGUUGGCUGGUCCGCGCCCUCCUCGAGAAGGGUUACGCCGUCACCGCCACCAUCCAGCCUGGCGCCGAUGCCGCCCACCUGCGCUCCCUCCCAGGCGGCGGCGGCGACCCCUCGCGUCUCCUCCUCAUCCACGAGGCCGACCUCCUCGACGCCCCAGCCCUCGCCGCCGCCGUCGCCGGCUGCCGCGCCGGCGUCUUCCACGUGGCGUCCCCCUGCACCCUCGAGGACCCGGCGGACCCUCAGCGGGAGCUCGUUCUGCCGGCGGUGCAGGGGACGCUCAACGUGCUGGAGGCGGCGCGUGCGGCCGGAGUCCGGCGGGUGGUGAUCACAUCCUCGAUCUCCGCCAUGGUUCCCAAUCCCCGCUGGGCCCGGGACCAUCCGGGGCGGCCGGUCGACGAGGAGUGCUGGACCGAGCUCGAUUACUGUAAGGCUCGCAAGAAAUGGUACCCAGUGUCCAAGACGAUGGCAGAGAAAGCAGCUUGGGAAUACGCAGAAAAGCACAAGUUGGAUGUAGUGACCAUCAACCCAUCUACAUGCCUUGGUCCCCUCUUGCAGCCUGGUCUCAAUGCCAGCUCCGCUGUCCUCCAACAACUCUUACAAGGAUCAAAAGACACUCAUGAGUAUCACUGGCUGGGCUGUGUGCAUGUGUGUGAUGUUGCUGCUGCUCAGGUCUUGCUCUUAGAGACGCCUAAUGCAUCUGGGAGGUACCUAUGCACAAAUGGAAUAUAUCAGUUCAAGGACUUUGCCGAAACUGUCGCUAAGCUUUGCCCUGGGUACAACGUAGAAAGUUUUACUGAAGAAACUCAACCGGGACUUGUGGCAUGCAAAGAUGCAGCAAAGAAGCUGAUUGAUCUUGGCCUGGUCUUCAGGCCAAGAGAAGAAGCAAUCAAGGACGCCGAGGCAAGCCUGAACGCGAAGGGCUUCCUGGGUCAGCAUCAGCUACAAAUUUAAUACGAGUCUGUUAGUGAGGAUUCAUUGAGAAGGUAUGUAUCGUACGCAAGCGAGAGCUGCAUUCAGGAGCUGCUAUCUGCAUCAGACUCAAGCCGGGCCGAAGGUGGUGAUGGAUGGAAAGUGUUGGCAUUUGAAAAUGGUGUUGAGAUAUCGAAGCGGUGCUCAGGCUCACCGCAUGUCUUCCGUGGCAGGUGGCUGCUCCGUUCAGUCUCGCCACAGCAGUUCAUCACCGUCGCCACUGCUAUUGACGCUGCUAAGCAAUGGGAUCCCGAUCUAGUGGAAGCCAAAUAUAUAAAGGACCUUAACGAUAAUCUCAGCAUUAUUCGCCUAAGGUUUGGUGAUGCCUCGAAACCACUCUUCAAGAACAGAGAAUUUAUAGUUUACGAGCGACGGGAGACAAUGGAUGAUGGAACUCUUUUGGUUUUGGUUUAGGUGGUUGCUGUGGCAUCUCUACCGAAGGAGAUCGCUGCAGGAUUGCAGCCUAAGAAGAAUAAUUCCAUUAGAGGGCUAUUGCUGCAGUCUGGAUGGGUGGUUGAGAAGCUUGAGGAUGACUCCUGCAUGGUGACUUACGUCGUUCAGUUAGAUCCGGCUGGAUGGUUGCCCAAAUGUUUUGUAAACAGACUCAACACGAAGCUGGUUAUGAUCAUCGAAAAUCUUAAAAAAUUAGUUCAAACAUGUCCUAUGAAUGGUGCGAUGUGAUUACGUUACUAGAGAAGAAAAAAGGUGCAACGAUAAUAUAUGUGUAACUAAAUAUACAUAUAAGAUGGUAAUGAAAACAGCUUAUUUCUUCGUCUCA